UACGUAGGGGGCGAGCGUUGUCCGGAUUUAUUGGGCGUAAAGAGCUCGUAGGCGGCUGUUCAAGUCGAACGUGAAAACUCGGAGCUCAACUCCGAGCCUGCGUUCGAUACUGGACGGCUAGAGUCUGGUAGGGGGACCUGGAAUUCCUGGUGUAGCGGUGGAAUGCGCAGAUAUCAGGAGGAACACCGGUGGCGAAGGCGGGUCUCUGGGCCGAUACUGACGCUGAGGAGCGAAAGCGUGGGGAGCGAACAGG
rnacentral:rRNA from 1 species